rnacentral:rRNA from 1 species
CAGUAGCCACGGGAACACGGAGGGUGCAAGCGUUAAUCGGAAUUACUGGGCGUAAAGCGCACGCAGGCGGUCUGUCAAGUCAGAUGUGAAAUCCCCGGGCUUAACCUGGGAACUGCAUUUGAAACUGGCAGGCUAGAGUCUUGUAGAGGGGGGUAGAAUUCCAGGUGUAGCGGUGAAAUGCGUAGAGAUCUGGAGGAAUACCGGUGGCGAAGGCGGCCCCCUGGACAAAGACUGACGCUCAGGUGCGAAAGCGUGGGGAGCAAACAGGAUUAGAUACCCCAGUAGUCCCUGUCUCUUAUAC